UGGGGAAUAUUGGACAAUGGGCGAAAGCCUGAUCCAGCCAUGCCGCGUGUGUGAAGAAGGUCUUCGGAUUGUAAAGCACUUUAAGUUGGGAGGAAGGGCAGUAAGCGAAUACCUUGUUGUUUUGACGUUACCGACAGAAUAAGCACCGGCUAACUCUGUGCCAGCAGCCGCGGUAAUACAGAGGGUGCAAGCGUUAAUCGGAAUUACUGGGCGUAAAGCGCGCGUAGGUGGUUCGUUAAGUUGAAUGUGAAAGCCCCGGGCUCAAACUGGGAAAUGCAACAAAAACUGGCGAGCUAGAGUAGGGCAGAGGGUGGUGGAAUUUCCUGUGUAGCGGUGAAAUGCGUAGAUAUAGGAAGGAACAACAGGGGCGAAGGCGACCACCUGGGCUCAUACUGACAAUGAGGUGCGAAAGCGUGGGGAGCAAACAGG
rnacentral:rRNA from 1 species